UACGUAGGUCCCGAGCGUUGUCCGGGCUUAUUGGGCGUAAAGCGAGCGCAGGUGGUUUAUUAAGUCUGGUGUAAAAGGCAGUGGCUCAACCAUUGUAUGCAUUGGAAACUGGUAGACUUGAGUGCAGGAGAGGAGAGUGGAAUUCCAUGUGUAGCGGUGAAAUGCGUAGAUAUAUGGAGGAACACCGGUGGCGAAAGCGGCUCUCUGGCCUGUAACUGACACUGAGGCUCGAAAGCGUGGGGAGCAAACAGG
rnacentral:rRNA from 1 species